rnacentral:rRNA from 1 species
GGGUCAGUAGGUUGGUCGUGCCACCGGUACGUACUGGUCUCACUGCUUCCUCCUUCCUGAAGAACCGUAAUGCCAUUAAUUUGGUGUUGCGGGGAAACAGGACUGUUACUUUGAAAAAAUUAGAGUGUUUAAAGCAAGCUAACGCUUGAAUACAUUAGCAUGGAAUAAUGGAAUAGGACGAUCGAUCCUAUUUUGUUGGUUUCUAGGAUUGACGUA